AGUUUGUUCCAUGUUUUGGCUUGGACUUGGUUGCUACACCAAAUUUAGAUGUUGCUAUCACCGCUAUAUUUUUCUUAACAUGUGUGGCAAACGCAUGAAUUGAGAUGAACUUAAUUUCUGUGCAAAUUAAGGGAAUCUAAAAUGUUGUUGACUUUUUUUUCAUCAUACUGUAAUCGUUGAUCUUCUUGGGCUGCAUUUGUCAAAAUACAGGGUAAUUGCUGAAAGUUUCUGGUUUGAGAAAUGAUACAAAUCAAAGGUCCUAAAGCUCUAGAUGAGAUUAUUAUCAUAUUUUUGUUUGUGUCUCGAAAUAAGAGUGAACUCUUGAGGAAAUAAUAGUAACACAUUCCAUCUACUGGUUACUAAUCAGGUCAUGUACUAAUAGUAAUGCAUAAUGAAAGACUUCUAUUUUAGUAUCACCAAUAUUGGCUUGCCAUUUUGUGGUUAUCUUCGUGGAGCUCUUGGAUUCUAUUGUAUCUAAUCGUGCCUGACUUGAUGGCUAACAGUACCUGGCAGAGGCAGUGGCAGAGCUAGGAUUUUCUUUCAGUUGGUGUAAAAUCUGAAUAAAAUAAAAAAGUAUGAGCCACUUUUCUUUUGUAGAACAUUUUUUCAAUUAUAAUCACAAUAAGUUCUUUACACUUCUUAAGAUGAGGAUGCAUUGCUACAUGUAAUGGAUGCCAACUGCAGACAUGCCACUGUUCCCCCAGCACCCCCUCCCUAUCUUGUUGAUGUAGGAUGUGCAGAAAUUCGAUCUUUUUGUAAUGAAACAGUACUAUUGCAUUACAAAAAAAUUGACUUUCUUGUCAAUAACCACACAAAUGAUGUACACUUAAGUCAAUACCAUAAACACUGACAUGUAAGAACUAGUUAAAAGGCCUUCCAAAUUAGUGAAUAAAUUUUAUUUAUGAAGUCCAAUACUUUCCCAAAAAAGAAAUAGAAAAUUUAAUCAAGACCUAUAUUUGACUGCUGCAAAAGUUGAUGGUCAUGGUUAUUCAUCUUGCUCUUGCUAGCUACAGCUUAUCUGUUUGCUACAAAAGCUCUUACAUACUUUCUGUACCAUAACUGGGAUCGCUUCUCAUGCACUUAGUUGGAAAGAAAAAAUUAAAGUGAUUCUCAAGGGUUUUCUUUCCAAAGCUUUUGGAGUUAAGGCUUGAGGAUAACCACUUUGAUGGUCAGAUACCAGAUUUUCAACAGAAGUCACUGAAUUCUUUUAAUGUAUCGGGCAAUGAAUUGGAGGGUCCAAUUCCAAAUAGCCUUAGUGGAAUGGAUUCAAGCUCCUUCUCUGGAAAUUUAGAGCUAUGUGGAAAGCGUAUGGGUAAUUGCGACAAAGGUUCAAUUCCAAGUGUCCUAGUGAUUGAUAUAUACUUGCAACGAUGGCAACAGUCGGCAUAGGUAUAGUGGUCUUCAUCAACCACAAGAGGCAACCAUCUCUAUUGACAAAGGCUCCAAUACAGCCAUCAAACUUGCAAAAGAAAUCUGGCAUAAAGGAAUCGAACGAAUCAGGGCAAGACUCAACAAACCGCAGUGGAAAUACCUAGAAGGUUCAGAAUGUGAAGCUGACCUUUGUCAGGGAGGAUAGGGAGAGGUUUGAUCUGCAGGAAUUGCUUAAAGCCUCAGCUGAGAUAUUGGGCAGUGGAUCCUUUGGGUCUUCUUACAAGGCUGCCUUGCAUAAUGGACAGGUGAUGGUUGUGAAGCGGUUCAAACAAAUGAAUAAUUUGGGGAAAGAGGAGUUUCAAGAGCAUAUGAGCAAGCUAGGGAGGUUGAGACACCCGAAUCUGCUUCCUCUGGUGGCUUACUACUAUAUAUAGGAAGGAAGAGAAGCUCUUGGCAUUUGACUAUGUGCAGAAGGCCAGCUUGGCCGUUCAUCUACAUGGAAUUGAAGUUUGGAAAUGAAUCAAAGUUGCAGAAGGAAUCAAAGAAGUGAAAGAAUUGUAACCAUAACAAACUUCAACGAUAACAGACUUGUAGCUAUUUUUACAUUCUGGGAGCAGUGGAAUUUUUAAUUUUCUUUAGUUU